AGUGGACGCUGGCGGUAGGCCUAACACAUGCAAGUCGAACGGCAGCACAGUAAGAGCUUGCUCUUACGGGUGGCGAGUGGCGGACGGGUGAGGAAUACAUCGGAAUCUACUUUUUCGUGGGGGAUAACGUAGGGAAACUUACGCUAAUACCGCAUACGACCUACGGGUGAAAGCAGGGGAUCUUCGGACCUUGCGCGAUUGAAUGAGCCGAUGUCGGAUUAGCUAGUUGGCGGGGUAAAGGCCCACCAAGGCGACGAUCCGUAGCUGGUCUGAGAGGAUGAUCAGCCACACUGGAACUGAGACACGGUCCAGACUCCUACGGGAGGCAGCAGUGGGGAAUAUUGGACAAUGGGCGCAGGCCUGAUCCAGCCAUACCGCGUGGGUGAAGAAGGCCUUCGGGUUGUAAAGCCCUUUUGUUGGGAAAGAAAAGCAGCAGGUUAAUACCCCGCUGUUCUGACGGUACCCAAAGAAUAAGCACCGGCUAACUUCGUG
rnacentral:rRNA from 1 species